rnacentral:siRNA from 1 species
UAUUGAGAAUCAAAUCAGCCUGGA